CUGCUUACGCAGGGAGAGCUCAAAUUGAGGAAGCUGGCGUGAGAGACUCAAUAACCGUCUGGCCACAGCUCCUUAUAAUGACACUUAGAGAAUUUCCAAGUGGGAAGUUCCAAUGAUCGGCUGACAUUUAAGUUUCCUGUUACACAGGAGCAUCUUACACAAUGGGGAAUGGAUGUACAUAGCUUGAGGCUUUGGAGCAUUUAUGAGCGUCAUAAAGCUAACUGGGUGAAUGCUGAAUUGAGAAGGAACUCCAAUGUGCAGGCUUUAAAGCUCAGAAGAAUUUGGAAAACAGUCCUCUAGGAAUUAAAAGACUAAGUAAAAACAGGAAACUUGCUGCAACUUUCUGUUGGAAUUAUCCUGCGAAAGAAAUUUAUGUUAGAACUGAAAGAGAGUAAAGGACAGAAAGAGGAGAGAGCACUCAGAGAGAAACACCCAGAGAUGUUUGCAGAGAGCUGAGAGAAAAAGCUCCCGGAAGAGAAGAGAGAGAAAACCCCAGAGGAGCUAAGAGAGGACCCACUGGGACCAGAGCUAAAGGCAAGGAAACCCAGGAGCAAAGGACCCACAGACGCCAGCCAUGUGCCUUCCCAUGUGACAGAUGCUGCAGAUGCCAGCAGCCUUUCUUCAGAGUCCAGCAGCUUUAGCAAAACAAAAGAGUUAUGGCGUCCAGUUGUUUGAUCGAGCAAGUAGUGGCCUGAUUGUUCCUCUGAGAAGAUUUUGUAGAUUUAGAAGAUUAGUCAGUUGAUUGCGUCUAUAACUGAUUACAUCUACAAUCAACAAAGGAGAUUGCCUUCAGCAACCAGAAAGGUCUUAUCCAAUCAACUGAAGUCCCUAAAGGGAGAACUGAUGAUUUCAGCAAUCAGAAAGAAGAAUUUGUAUUUCUACUUAAGCCAGCCAGCUUCUCCUGGGGAAUUCAUCAAAACCUUCAUCAGAGUACCCAGCUUGUGACCUGCCCUAAGGAAUUUGGAUUUGCCAAUCCCCAUGCUCUAGGUCAAUGGUGAGCCUGGAAGGCAUGUAUUGAAGACUGCAGAACAUCAUCAGGCUGUUCCUGAAGGAUUGAGUAACAGAGUACACUUAAUUCCUACUGCUUCUGUAAGGGCCUCUGUAUUUGUCUUAUGUGAGUGAGAAAUAAAAUUCUAUUAUGUUUA